AGAGUUUGAUCAUGGCUCAGAUUGAACGCUGGCGGCAGGCCUAACACAUGCAAGUCGAACGGUAACAGGAAGAAGCUUGCUUCUUUGCUGACGAGUGGCGGACGGGUGAGUAAUGUCUGGGAAACUGCCUGAUGGAGGGGGAUAACUACUGGAAACGGUAGCUAAUACCGCAUAACGUCGCAAGACCAAAGAGGGGGACCUUCGGGCCUCUCGCCAUCGGAUGUGCCCAGAUGGGAUUAGCUAGUAGGUGGGGUAACGGCUCACCUAGGCGACGAUCCCUAGCUGGUCUGAGAGGAUGACCAGCCACACUGGAACUGAGACACGGUCCAGACUCCUACGGGAGGCAGCAGUGGGGAAUAUUGCACAAUGGGCGCAAGCCUGAUGCAGCCAUGCCGCGUGUAUGAAGAAGGCCUUCGGGUUGUAAAGUACUUUCAGCGGGGAGGAAGGGAGUAAAGUUAAUACCUUUGCCCAUUGACGUUACCCGCAGAAGAAGCACCGGCUAACUCCGUGCCAGCAGCCGCGGUAAUACGGACGGUGCAAGCGUUAAUCGGAAUUACUGGGCGUAAAGCGCACGCAGGCGGUUUGUUAAGUCAGAUGUGAAAUCCCCGGGCUCAACCUGGGAACUGCAUCUGAUACUGGCAAGCUUGAGUCUCGUAGAGGGGGGUAGAAUUCCAGGUGUAGCGGUGAAAUGCGUAGAGAUCUGGAGGAAUACCGGUGGCGAAGGCGGCCCCCUGGACGAAGACUGACGCUCAGGUGCGAAAGCGUGGGGAGCAAACAGGAUUAGAUACCCUGGUAGUCCACGCCGUAAACGAUGUCGACUUGGAGGUUGUGCCCUUGAGGCGUGGCUUCCGGAGCUAACGCGUUAAGUCGACCGCCUGGGGAGUACGGCCGCAAGGUUAAAACUCAAAUGAAUUGACGGGGGCCCGCACAAGCGGUGGAGCAUGUGGUUUAAUUCGAUGCAACGCGAAGAACCUUACCUGGUCUUGACAUCCACGGAAGUUUUCAGAGAUGAGAAUGUGCCUUCGGGAACCGUAAGACAGGUGCUGCAUGGCUGUCGUCAGCUCGUGUUGUGAAAUGUUGGGUUAAGUCCCGCAACGAGCGCAACCCUUAUCCUUUGUUGCCAGCGGUCCGGCCGGGAACUCAAAGGAGACUGCCAGUGAUAAACUGGAGGAAGGUGGGGAUGACGUCAAGUCAUCAUGGCCCUUACGACCAGGGCUACACACGUGCUACAAUGGCGCAUACAAAGAGAAGCGACCUCGCGAGAGCAAGCGGACCUCAUAAAGUGCGUCGUAGUCCGGAUUGGAGUCUGCAACUCGACUCCAUGAAGUCGGAAUCGCUAGUAAUCGUGGAUCAGAAUGCCACGGUGAAUACGUUCCCGGGCCUUGUACACACCGCCCGUCACACCAUGGGAGUGGGUUGCAAAAGAAGUAGGUAGCUUAACCUUCGGGAGGGCGCUUACCACUUUGUGAUUCAUGACUGGGGUGAAGUCGGAACAAGGUA
rnacentral:rRNA from 1 species